UACAGAGGUCUCAAGCGUUGUUCGGAUUCAUUGGGCGUAAAGGGCGCGUAGGCGGCCAGCACAAGUCAGUUGUGAAAUCUCCGAGCUUAACUCGGAAAGGUCAACUGAUACUGUGCGGCUAGAGUGCGGAAGGGGCAACUGGAAUUCUUGGUGUAGCGGUGAAAUGCGUAGAUAUCAAGAGGAACACCUGCGGCGAAGGCGGGUUGCUGGGCCGGCACUGACGCUGAGGCGCGAAAGCCAGGGGAGCGAACGGG
rnacentral:rRNA from 1 species